UGACAGACAUUCCAACUCUCCCGAUUUUACCGGGAGUCUCCCGAAAAUUCAUGCAAUCUCCCGGUCUCCCGAUUUUUAUCAAAUUCUCCCGAUUUUUCAGAAUAUUCAGGAAAUAUCAUAAAAAUAUUAUAAAUAUACUGUUUUUAGCAACAUAAUAGUCUGUCUCGGACCUUUUUUGAAGUUACUUUAUGGCAAUUUAUAGGAUCAUUUAUAACAACAUAGUCCCAAAAUGCAGGAAACGCCAUUUCAGAAGACUUAAUUUUUAUUAUUUUUUCCCAGAAGAACUAGAUUUCAAUUCACUGAACAGUCUCCCUAAAUUUUACCUCCAGUAGUUGGAAUGUCUGCAAA